AAGCAUAGGCAAACUAUAAUGUGUAACAGCACCUUUAGUUGCUCAGGGAGCCAUCUUCAAGAAGAGAGCUGGAUAAUAUCUAACCUAUGAUGUGGUGACUAAAGCGUGGCUAUUAUUUCAAGAUUUACGCUGACCAAGCUUUGAAGGCUGGUUGAAGAAAGGGAAGAAGGGAGGUGAGCCAUGACAUCUUCUGCUGAAGCACCCUGGAGCAACAGAGUUCAGCAUGAGGCACAUAGAGUCCCUUUGGAGGAAGUGGAUGGGUGGAGAAAGUGCAGUCUAUCCUGAGCUGUUGAAGGACCUGCCCAAACUCUAUCACCCUAUGUAUGGCAUGCCACAUGUUAAAGCCUGCUAGAAACCAAUUACAAAAUGUUCUACAUUUUUCAAGCAACAUUUUUAUGACUGGUUAUCCACUUUUUUAUUUGCCAUGUCUAAAUGUAUUGUGCAGUCAACCAGUUAAUACUACAACAAAUGUAACAAGUCAAUUUUGUUUUAAGAUUCACUCAAAAGCAACAAGAUGGAGGACCCACCCACCUUUUGUAUUAACAGUUUUCAGAAACUCGAGUGGGGCAAAAUAGAAUUCCACUUAGGUGCCCAUGCCUACUUGCAUGCCUAAUAGUUGGAGCAGAAUCUUGUUUUUUUCCCCAUAAACCACAGCUUUCCACCACCUGACCUAAAGGAGAGUUUGUUUUGUGAAUAGUACUGGCAUAUCCCUUAUCUUCUCUACAGGCAAGCCAACAAUGUUCAGCCUUUCAUAUACACACAGCAAGUGCACAAAAGAACUUUUAAGAAUGAGAGCUUUUAUGUUUAUAUGAUCCUUGGUAUUUUUAGUAAGACUAUCAGCAGAGAUGCAGUUCUGGUGGUAUUUUUUUUUCCCUCAUGAACCUGUUUCAUGAAGCCACCAAAUAAUUCUCAAGUAGUAAUGUUUUUGGUAGGAGGCAGAGAAAGGAAUAUACAAGCCAAUGAACAAAGGGAGAGAAGUAUGUGUACAACAUUAUUACCGGUCAUAAGGAUUAUACAGGUUUCCUAUUACAUUUUUAAAUGAUAAUAAGUUAAAACACAUUGUUGCUGUCCCAGAAACAAUAGACAAGCUUUCAUUGACUUCAGUGGGGACAGCCUUGGGUUCAUAAAAUAAUCUGUCCAUUAUUCUGUAUCUACUGUAUCUCACUACCUUUUUUAUUUCCUCAGAUGAGACUAAAACUGCUUCCAAAACAAAAACCAAUAAAAAUCAGCUGCUCCAAAAUUCCUGUCUCAGUCCUCAGGCUAUACUAUCUGAUACCUAAAGCUGCUUAAAAUUGCUUGCCAGAGAUGAGAGCUGUGGUGGUGUUGAUGAUCCCUGUCUUGAAAAGCCUUUUGAGAUAAGAGUCAAAUUCAACUUCUGCUAAAUCUGCCUGUGAACUUUGGGUAUAAUCUCUAUAAAGCUAAGACUAAUCUUA